CACGCCAGCGUCCAUAGGAAAGCAUUAUGAAUGCUUUCCUAUGUGACCGGCUGAAUGCGUGCGCAGCUCUUGCCGCGCGUGCGCAUUCAGCCGACGGGGAGGAGAAGAGGAGGAUCGGACGAGGAGAGCUCUCCGCCCAGCGCUGGAAAAAGGUAAGUUUUAACCACUUACCCCUUUCCAGAGCCGGGCGGGAGGGGGUCCCUGAGGGUGGGGGCACCCUCAGGGCACUAUAGUGCCAGGAAAACGAGUAUGUUUUCCUGGCACUAUAG